GGUAUCUGGAAUGAAAUGUAGCAACGAUAUUAUUCCGUGCAAAUGUCGCCACAAAGGCAAAACAUUAUGGGAAAAGGCUUAUGUUUGGGUAAAGAUCGCUGGGAAAUUGGAAGUAAAAAAACGCUGGAUCAGAUUCACGAUCCCAGAUGGAUGCAUGUGUGCAGUGGUUAAUGUCCCUCACAGAUAAAUCAGCUUUCCUUUCAAUUGCUGGCAAAAAUGAGAACAUUUAAUUAUGAUUUGACACAUUGGUGCUUAUAAUGUUUUUUUUUUGGCUUUCUCUUAUCGUUUGUUCAAAAAUAAUGUAAUGCAUUGUUAUUCUAAACUAUAAAAAUUAAACUGCUAGAGACUAAUUUUGAAUAUUAUGAUAAUAAAAUAAAUUGUAUUCCGGACAACAUUG